CGGGAAUGCACAGUGUUAGAGAAACAACCUUGACACCACGACUCUGGGGACAGAGCCAGAAGAGAUGGUGGGGCCCAGCCACAGCCACUGUUCUUAAAGCUGGGGUACGUGGAGGCUUUCCAGAGCCAACUGAUGCCCUUUCCUCCUUGCCAGGAGGGCCGGAAGGCUGGUAGUGGGGUAGCCUGGCAGAGCCAUUUGAGGGCAUCUUGUUAUGCCUUACCCCCAGGGGCAGCCCAGGCCUUUGCUGUCUUUUUUCUGAUUUGGGGGAUUGGACUUUGAUUCCAAAAGUUAAAAAAAAAAAAAAAAUGUAGUGUUGGGAAGGGUUAUAGAAAAGAUUAGUGUUAUGGAGAUUAAACGCAGGUCAUCCAUCAAAACGAAGAAACUCUCAGGCAUUCAAGAGGUUGCAGAGCAAGUAAGGGUUGCAGGGCAAGAAAGGGCCCUAGUUUAUGAGGUCCCUACUCCUGCUUCUCUUCACUUGGACCAAAGCAGGAAAGCUUCAGCCCAGCACAGUUUUCCUCAUAGACCCACAAUAAAACCCAAGAGCAUGCAUUUAAGUCUAUGUUUAUGGUGCCAAAGUUUCAUAGUGGGAUAAACCACGAAGGUGUCAACAUCAGUUUGAUUUCCAGUCCCACCGGGGUUUCUCCUGUGUUUGUUUUCUGCAGUGCUGGGGACUGACUGAACAAGGCCUUGGGCGUGCUAGGCAAGCACUCUCUGAGCUAUAGCCGCAGCCGUCUCCUGUUUCUUCACUAGUUCCUCUCCAGUCCCUCCCUGUGCCAUUGGGCCUUAACUGCACUCUGUGUGCUCUGUGGCCAUGUCAGGGUAGCAAUGCUUGAGCACAGUGGUCCAGGUUUGCAUAGCCCCCACCCCCGCCCCAUUGGAAAGGGCAGGUGGAACCACACCUUGGCUACAGCUCACAAUUAAUGCAGAAUCAAGGACAUCCCAGUUCUACCUGCAGCCACAUCCAGGUUUUUGUUUCUCUUUACC
rnacentral:lncRNA from 1 species